AUUACGUGCCUGAGUUAAUCUUAUGUCUGAGAUCUGGAGGUGAAACCACCAGGCUGGGAGUGAAUGUCUGUUUUUCGCUUUGUCAUGUUCGAGUGGGCUGUGCCUGGGCAUCUCCCCAGAGCCGAGGUCAGCUGAGGUUUCAGUUUGAAAGAGUGGUAGCAGAUGGUGGCGUUCCUCAGAGAGGUGGCCUCAGAGGUGAACCAGGUUGCUGGAAAUACCUUUCCCCACCCUACACAAGAACGCCAAACAUCAGCCAUGGCAUCCCCCUUCAUUCACACCAGUGUCGUCUAGGGAAACCGAACAACGUCAGGGUUUUUAGGGGACAUAUUGUAUCUUGAGGCAUUUCAUCUGCAGAACCUGUCUAGGUGGGACACUGUUGGACACUUUCUUAGGACAAAUGAAAACUUCUGUGUGCUACUUGAAAGAGAAAGUACGCCCAGCGUUCCUUUCCAGAACUGGCAGUUACCACCACUCGCACUUUGGCUUCCGACCAGCUUUGACUGCAGGCUGGAGAAACUAUGUGGAGAGAAAGACAGAAAGAGACACCUGAGUGGUCCCAGAGAUUCCAUCGCCUGGCGAUCCGGCUCUUCCCAGUCCUGCACCAGACACGUGAGGGAGGGAGUCUUCAAAAGGAGCCCAGCCCCAGCCGCCAUGUGAAUGCAGCCUCCUGAGAGAUCCCAAACCAGAGCAACCCAGCCACAGCACUCCUCAUCGGACUCGCAGAAACGAUGAAAGAUAAGAAAUGAAUAUUGUUAUUUGAAGCCACUAAGUUUUGGGGUGAUUUGUCAUGCAGCAAUAGUUACAGAUUUUAUAGCUAACUAAUAUAGGCACUCUCCUACCUAGCUGGUGGUAGAUUAAAUUGGUGCAUCCUCCUUGGAGUGCGCAGUUUACUAAUGCCUAACUGAAAUAAUACCUACACAGGCCCUUUGCCCAGAUAGUCCACUUUUAGAAGUUUCCUAACAAAUAUACCCACACCUAUGCAAAGUGAUAUAUGUAUAUAUAUUUAUCACGGUAUUGUUUAAAUAGAAACAAUCAGAAAUAACCUAAAAGGCAAUUCAUAUUAUAAAUUAUAUAUUAUAAAUUAUAACAUUCAAUGGAAUAUUGUUCAGUCCAACAAAGAAUGAGGGUAUUCUUCACACGAUGCCAUGAAAAAAAAUCUCCAACAUAAUUUCCAAGCAAAACAAUAAUAGAAAAGGACGUGCAAGGCAGCGUGGACAGUGCAGUGGCAGCUAUGUAGGAGGAGGAGAAGCCUGUCCUUGUUCCUAACUGCGUGAAUAUGCAUAGAUUAUCUUUGCAAUGUACGCGAGGAACCUUCACGUCCAUUGCCUGGAGAAGAGAACUAAUGGCUGACAGACAAGAGGGCGACGGUGGGGCUUUACACUUCAAGACUUCUUAAUUUUAUACCAAGUGAAUAUAUUACCUAAUCAGGAAUAAAAAAAUAAAAAUUAACUUAAAAAAAAAGAAAUUUCUAUCAGCUGUUUUUGCUUUAACUUAACACUGUCUGGACUUUUAGAUCUUAGAGCUGGGUCUUCAAACCAAGGCAAUUCUGAGGGUCAAGCAGAGUUUCUUCCAGGGUGUACAUCCUGGAGGGUAAGGGAACCAGUUUCUAGACAGAGAAUGAAUACCAGUGCUCUUGCUUACAGUUCAGCUGUCUGGGAAAGUACCUUGCUGGGCUGGUUCUCCCUGCUUCUCUCCCAGGUUUCUUUCUCUCACUUGACAAAAGACAGGCAGACCUCUCGCCUGUCCUGCUUUUCACUCUGGGUGUUGCCUCAGAAUGGAAAGACCCCUUGGAGGCCAAACAAAGGAACAAUUCAAGAUAUUGGCACUGGUUUUGAGAAAGUGAACAACUUUAAAGGUUGAGAAAUAAAUCCUUUUGCAGAUCUAAUUCUUGCAAAAGGUAGUUUCCAAGAUUUUGCUUUCAAAAUAAUUGAAAGAGGACCUAUUGAGUUGUCAGCUGAUAGAACAUUAAAAAUUACGUUUGAUAAUGGAUCACAGGGCAGUUUUUUACAUAUAACUCAGAACUUCAAAGAAAUGAGUGAUGUUGCUAUAAGAAAACUCCUUCCAUGGCCAUCUGCUUAUUUAUAUAAAGAACGUUCCUCAGCACUAUUUUUAAAAACAAAAAAGAAUAAAAUUGAUGCUAUAAAUUAUACUCAGCCCUAAAAACUGAACUUGCUUAAAAACUAAAGCAGCUCUUUUCAUCUUACUAAGAGAUACAUUUCCAAUAAAAUUUCACUUUUAUGUUUAAUGAUUAUAGGUGGUCAAACCAUUAGAGUGAUAACACCGUCAAAAGUUGUUUUUUUUUACCCUUAGAGAAUAACAGUCACAGGAAAUCUUCUAAAAUUUAAAUUUGUUCCCAUACUUUUAUUGCCUUGAAGUAUGAUAGAAUGAUUUUUAAAAAAAGACUUUCAAGCAUACAGAUAGAUUACAUCAAGAGUAAAAUUCUUUGGGGGAAGCAGAAUGAAAUGAGCUGAAAUUGAAAAGGGAACAAUGUAAAAUUUCCUUGUGUUAAACACUAUUUUUUUGAUAUAUUUUUUAAACGACGAUGGCAGGUAUAAAAUGGCUGUGAUAUUUGGAUACAUUUUAAAGAAUAAUAUAACAAGGCUUCAAAAGUGUCCAUAUUUAUUAUGAUGGAAAUUACAUCUUUUGUUGAAGAAACAUUUUAAAUAACGUAAAACUGCAUAAGGGAGAAAGUUCUUCGAAUUCUUUAAGCAAAACACAGACAAAUAAUUCGAACCAUUGCCUUAGGGACCAUCUGAUCCAGCUCUCUUUACUUUGCAGAUGAAAAACUUGUCCAUCAAAGUGAAGUAACUUCCUCAAGGUCAAGUGACAAAUAAGACCAGAUCCUGGUCUCCUGCCUCCUGGUCCAGGCAGCCAGAUCUAAUCCAGGCAGCCUGCCUGGUAGGGGAUCUUUCCUGCAGUUAAUCACCAGCUGAAUGGAUCCUGGGGCUCCAGGCCAAAGUGAAAAUGCUGCUCAGCUUGCAAGCAUCAUUACAGAGCACUUUGAUUAGCUCUGACUCACCCUGCGCCGUCUCCACAGCCUGCAAGAAGGCUGCCUGUUACCUUUGUUUCCUCCAGUUCCCAUGGAUACCACCUGAAGGGGCUUCGAAAGCUUCUAAUACCGGCUUCCUCUGUCUUUUGUGACUCUCCACCGAAAUUUCUUCUUCCCCUCAUCCCCGGCAAGAGUUGUAGCCAGAACAUGCUGUCCAGCCUGGGACUACGUUUCUCAGCCUCCCUUGAGCCACUUGAGGUUAUGUGUCUACACCUUCACCAAUGGAACUUGAGCAAGAGGGUGCCACACUCAAGCUGGAGCCCACUGCCUCCAUGAUCUUUUCCUAUUCCCUUUUGGUCUUGUUGGUGAAAACAUGUAAUGGUCUUAAAAUCCAUGAGUUGCUAUCAGACUUGGUGCCUAAGCCACGCAUCAACCCAGAGCCCUUGUCUGGAUGGCUUCACGACAGAGAAAGAAACAGCUUGUUCCUCAGCUCACCACAUUUUAGAGAUCUUUAUUAGAAAGCUUACGUUGCCCUAGCAAACUUGGCCACAACGCUCCAAGGUAAGUUUUUUUUUUUACUAACCCCAUUUUACUAAUGAUAAAAAUGCAGCUCAGAGAAGUCAGGUAAUUUGUCUAAAGUCAUACCUUUAGUAAUUAGCAGGUUUGGGAUCCAAAUCUAGGUUUCCUGCCAAUUAGUGAUGCUAGAGGUCGGAGGAGUGGGUCCCUAGGGUGGAGGAGUGACGGCAAGGGUGCAUGAGGGGGACUCCCUUUGUCUUCUUAGGAGAAACGGGAUUCGGUUGGUAAUUAUCUUUAACAUUUAGACAACAUGUUGUCAUUAUACAAAGCUCUGUCACACAAUUAACUCAUUUAAGCCUCACGAAUACCUUGAACAGAUGAGGAGACCGAGGUUUGCACAAGUUAGAUAUCUUGAACACAGUUAAUAAAAACUGGCUCUAGGCUCUGAACACAGAUCUUCCCUUUACAUCCUGUACCCAGUGCGUUCCAGUAUGCUGAAGCAACUCUCUCAGGUGUAAGUUACAACGACCAACUCUUACUAGCUUAAACAACAAACAAACCAACCCCACCCCCACCCCAUACACCCCUAUCCGCACAACUAGGCUGGGGACAAAGUAGAACUAGCCAAAGUAGCAUGGCUGUCAUCAGAUUUCUAGUUCUCUCACUCUGCCACUAAUCUUCCUCCAUGGAGAGGAAAAUGGGGCCAGAGUCAGCUGCAACUUACAGCUUCCAAGCUUAGCAACCACGUAGGAAAAACUGAGCUCUGGCCAACUGGUUUACUAUUUACAAGUCCUAGGCAAAGACCCUGACUGGCCCAGCUUGGAUCUGUUGCCUUCUCCAUGGACCAAUCAUUGAAGCCAGGGGAUGGGGCCAGACACUUAUUGGUAGUCCCCUAGAACCACACGGCAUGGGUGGCAGGACAGGAACAGUUAUCUAUAGGAAGUGGAGGAAGGUGGAUGCUGAUGUCAGAAUAGGAAAGGGAAGUUGGACAGACGAAAACAGAUCCAUUAUACGUACCCUGCAUUGUAGAAAGGUUUCGCCAUAGAAAUUGCGGCAGCAUCCAUUCCUUUUGAAAACACUGCAUGUGCGUGUGUGUCUAUAUAAAUGUAUGUAUUAUAUAUAUAAUUGUCUCUUGGUCUUACUAUAGACAUCCUCUCGCAUAGUGUGGUCCAAAAAGUUGCACUCCGUGACUUGCCUGUUCCUUCAGAACCCUCUCUAGAACUUCUUAGCAGCUCCCUUUUAAUUACAGGCCCCAGGGGAGUCUGACCAGUGUAUGUGCACAGCGUCCUGUCCCAGGGAGACCAAAGCCCCUGAUUUAAGGGAUGAGGGAGGAAAUAAUUGCACGGAGGUGUGGAUAUCUGUGCUCUGUGUGAGGAGUGGGAGAGAAAAGUUUACAUAUACCCUUAGUUUUCUGUCUCCAGGGUUACUCUGAGGAUCAAAAUUCAUUUUCACCACAGUCCCUCAGUGUGAAGAGAAGACUUUAACAAAAAGUCAGGUACACCGUUCUGCCUGCCCUUCACGUGUGCAGAGGUUUUGGCUGCUCCCAGCCAAGUCGCUGCACUUGGUUACCCCAUGAGUCCAACUGCUGGCCACAGGAGCUCCACGUGUACUGGGCCAAGAAAGCAGGCAGUCAGAGCUGCCAGAGCCGGUGGAGACAUCUCUCUGUUCUGGCACGUGAAUCUCCCUACUCUGGUAUGUGACCUCUCUAACAACUUGUCACACAUUUCUAAGACUCCAGACAUUUUUUUUUCAAACUUUGUCUUAAAUAGUGGCUUUUAAACUUUUAAAUUAAAAAAUUAAACCCACAGUAAAAUAUAAAUUUAACAUUGACCUGUACACACACUAACACACACACAUACACACACACAAUAUAAGCAAAAAUAUUUCGUGAGAAACAUGUAAUAUUUACCCUUACCCUGUGUGUUGCACUCUGAUACAUCCUAUUCAAUUUUAUUUCAUUUUUGAAAAAUUGCGAGACAUAAAUGACUACCUUGUUUUCACGACAGGUCGUGACCUACAGUUUGGGGAGCACAUUGUCCAACUGUUCUAAGCACUGCCCCGAGCACAUCAUCCCCUUAGACUGGGGCUCCAACCCAUCAAAUGCUUCGAAAGCCCUCGGUUUCAGGACCCCAGCCCAGGAGUGCGUGAGCUGUGCUAGGUUGGGGAGGCAGGUCCCGGGCCCCAGUCCCUCAGGAGGUGUCUUGGAGUUAGAAGGGACACCUUCUCAGCUGCAUAAAUCUCUUCCACAUCACCCCAGAACAGGUGGCCCAGGCUCUGCUCCACGUCCCCGGCUGUCAGGAGCUCACUGCCUGCUGCUUUAACUGACUGAGAUAUUAAAGAGUUCUUCAACGUUCCCAGUAGAAAUAACCAUGCUGCCACGUGCAUCCUCCAUGCUGGUCCUGCCCUUGGAAGCCAGGGCAGUGGUGGGCUCAGAGACUGUUGGGGCGCAGUUGGGGGCCAUCCGGCUGGGAGUUAAUUCCUUCCCUCUAGUUUUGGGGAGCAGCCUCCCUGCUUCCGUUUAAAAGGUAGAGGGAAGGGGAAAUAAACAGAAACCCCGAACGAGCCAAAUCUGAGGACUACACAGAUGGCCUGCGUGGGCUGGCCCAGGGCCAUCGUGGAGCUGUUUGACACGAGCCUCCGCGCCUUGACCAUCUUGAUGAGCAGCUCCCAUGGGCUGCCCCCACCUGGGCGGCGUUGGAUUCCAGGCCCUCCUGAGAAAGAACUCCAGGUCCCACAGCCAAGAUCCCUGGGAUGCUGUGAAAGGCUCCGAACCUCAAUCAAGAGAUAUUUAGGGUCGUUAAAGUAGGAAAGGAGGGGUUAGAAUACUUGAUUUUCGAUGAUUUUUUUAUUCACUUUUUACAAACUAUGGGAGAAAGCCCAGGUGUCUGAAAACUAUCUCAAGGAGCUGAUUUUGGGAAUGUUAUCAUAUUUCAUAUAUUCAGCAAAUAGCUGGAAGCAACUUCACGGGGACUAUAGGGGGCAAAAUGAGACGAAACUCAUUCACGGCGGAUGUGUACCUCUUUGGAGAAGUAGCCGCUGAGGAGACCCUGGCACUUGCCGUGGCUGAGAAACAGCCAAGGAAGGAGUGGAGCCUGAGAAGACACUGAGGUUAACCUGAAGGUGGCAGGGGAGGCUGGUUCUGUGGUGAGUUUAAGAUGAAGAGGCAUUUGGCUAUCCCCUGGUAAACAAAUGGAAGCCUGUUUGUAAACAACAGCAUUUGUCAAUGUGGCAGAUCAGAUUCCCAUUUAACGGGCAGCCAAUCAAUGAAACAGACACACCUACAUGGGCGGAAAUGGAGGAUGGAAUUACAGGUGAUGUGCUCCAGCCACAGACAGGAGAGGCCCACUACAAAGGAGCCUGCUACCUUACUCCAGAACCCUGUUCCAACACACCACAAGCACAUUCUCAACUGAAAAACCGCAUGUGGUUCCACCACAGCCUGACGCCUACAGUAUAGUUUUCUCUGUUCUUUCAUUUUCUCCUUCCCCAUCCCUUUAUCGUACAUCGUGUAACUGGGGUACGUGCACAAAUAUGCUGCAUUUUAAAAAAAAUGAAAUAGCCAGUCGUAUGCUUUGAUUGACAUCAAGUGGAGCUGGGACGUGAGAAAUGACUGGUUUGUCAAAAGCCCCCUCUCUCCACUGGUGGCUUCCUCGCGCAGUGCCUGUCUUUACAUUCAGGGCGUUAUUUUACUCUCACGGUUUAACAGCAACAACAAAACAACACUAAAAAAUCUUUACAUACCUUGUUCCAUUGUAGAAUUUUAGUGUUUUUCAUUUAUCAUUGAGAAACCAAGGACAAUUUUAUCACUUUUUUGUACGUAGCCGUUACAGUAAGGAAAAUUUGUCUUUAAGUAGGGAUAAAUUACCCUAGAAGGAAUGAGCCCUAGACAGUUUUCCCUUCAAGUCAAGCAUCUUGUUGUUUAAAUAAACUUCUUUUUUUAAAUGAAAAAAUAAAAAAAGAGAAAUGAAACCAGACCAAAACCCCCAGCUUGUGGUCUGAGUGUCUGUCUAUUAACAAUUAAAGAACCAAACCCUCGGAAACCGGUUAGUGGAGGCGGGAAGGGCUAGCAUGCGGCCAGCCCUCCCACUUUCCGCCACACAGCAAAUGCUUCCCACCCAACACCAGGCACCAGGCCAGGCGUCCACAGCUGGGUUCCAACUGCGAUGCAUUAGCCAUGGCCUCAGGCUCUGGAGCCAGUCAGACGUGGGUUCAAAUCCUGAAUCUGACACUUAACCGCCUGUGUGACUCUGGGCAAACAUUUCAUGCUCUCUGUGCCUCAGUAGUCCCAUCUACAAAGUGAGGAUGAUGGGACUUACUCCAUAGGUGGUUGUGAGAGUAAAUGAGAUAGUACAUAAAAAGUGCUUAGUGAGCAGAGAGAACUCAAUAAACCCACGUGAUUAUAUUCUGUGGUAUUCCAAGUCUGUGAAAGCUCAAAGCUGUUUGCUCUCUUCAACAGUCAGAGCUACAUGGAUUUUUCUCCCCAACAUUUUAUUGUAAAAAAUUUCAAACAUACAGAAAGUUGAAAAUUGUACAGUGAACACAUACAUAUGCCUACCACCUAUAUUCUAUAAUUAGCGUUAUGGUGUAUGUUUUAUCACAUACCUAUUUAUCUCUUAUCCAGUCAUCAAUUCGUCUGUUUUUUAAAAUGCACGUUAAAGUAAGUUGGAGACAUCAGUACUUUCCACACUGCAUAUCAUUAUCUAGUUUUUUCAAGGGUAAAAUUUACUUUCAGCGAAUUACACAAACUUUGUGUGCCAUGAAUGCACACAUCUUGGAUCCUUAGCUCUGUGUCCCCGGCCUCAGUUGUCACGGAGACUGCUUUGCUCUCCCUGGGAACAGGUAGUGGGUGGUGGGUGUUAUGGGAACACAGGGGAGGGGAGGGUCCGCCUAUCUAGAGGCCAUUCAUCCUUUGAGGCCCAGCACAGCUCCUGCUCCCCUGGGAGAGCCACGUUGAGUUUAUGCUCCAGCCAAUAUUUCAUUUGUCCAAGACAAUCUUAGAGGUCAUUGAAUUUAUUCAGUGUAGAAAAUCCUUUUGCAGCAUCCCUAAGAGCUGAUCAUUCAAUCUCUGUACACCUCUGGCAACCUCGCUAGCUUGGCUUUCCCAACUUAGUUCUUUUUGUUGAUGAGCUGAAAUUCUUCUUCCUGUAACUUCCAAGUUCUUCCUUCUGGAGACAGAUUCAAUAUCCCUGUAAAAACAGGAAGCCUGGUCUCUCAUGUGUCUUUCAUUUUGUUUCCAUUUCUCCAGUUCUUUCCAUCCUUCCUUAUUUGGCACUUUAUCACAUCCUGCUUUGAAUUGUUCAUUACAUUUCACUCAGUUCUGUGUCUGCUUAAUGAAGUUUCCUGAGGGUGCGGACCAUAUAGAAGGCUUCCAUAUGCCAGCCUGAAAGACACUGCCCUCCCUCAGGGUGCUCAAGGCAUAUGUGUUGACUGACUUAGGUGGAGAAAAAUAAGGAUAUUACAUGUGUUCGAUAUAAAUGUCUUUGAGUCCAAACACCUUAAUGAGCUUUAGUCUUUUGUGACACACUUUGGGCCGUGUAUCAUGAGUAGGAUAGUUUGUGUGUCACUCAGGCUAUAUUCUGUAGAGGAAAUAGCCAUAGAAUAUAACACCUUAAUGAAGAGCCCUGAUUAAUAAAGUGAUAAAUAAAAACAGUGUUCCGCUAACUCCAGGUUGUCCAGGUGGGGCUCCCUGAGCCGCCAUGGCUGUCUACUUUGGAUUAUCAGCAUCACAGUUUUGGAGAAGAAAACUUUGCUGUCCAAGAACCUUCUCUGAAAUGUCAGCCCAGUCUUAAUGUCCACCCCAAGGCGGAGGGCUGGGGAAAUCAUAUUUCAAUCCAGGGCACAUCAAAGAGCUUUCCGGUGUGAGGGUUCUUCCAAGGCCCCAGACCCACUUUCCAUACGAAGCCCCCCAUUUUCCAGAAGGGGCAGUGGUUUCUAGUGGACGGUGUGAAUGAGGAAGGUCCAUUUCCACCCAGGCCCUAGCCAUUCACUUUCCUGCCCAUUCGUUCACAGGAAACCCCAGCUGAAAUGUCCCUAAGUAAACUUUCUUUGGUACCAUAAACUCCUCCAUUUGGGGCAGGCAAAGACUCUGCCGACUCAGCUGGUUUACAUUUUUUCAGGUUGUGUUUACAGAAAGGAAAAACUACUUCUUACCAAGGCUUCUCCUCUCUGCUUCCCAUGAGACCAAGAGUUAGCAGAAGCCAAAUAAUCACUCUGACAACGUAAUUGUGUCCUUACCCUGCGUGUUUUCCUUUUCUUCCAAAAUUAAGGAAAAACCCUAUGGUCAUGUUUGGUUUUCAAGAGAGGAAAGAGUUGUUGACUCCAUCCAGAUGGGGACUGCGAGGGACUGGUCUGCCCUGGAGCCGGGGAAGGCUUCCAGUGGGUGCAGAGAACCAGAGCAGGAGCCUCUGAUAGACUUGCGAUGAUGCAUGUCCACUGGGAGCUCAGGAAGCAUAAAAGGAGCAUGUGCAGGUUUCUCCUGCAAAAGCCCGGGUCAGAGGCACAUCUCCAGCAGGACUGGCAUUCAGAAGGGCUACUUUGGGGAGACAGCUUCUUAAAAAAGGAGCAAUUUACGAUCUCAACAUUUUUGGAGAGAACGUGUUUUAUUCAUUCCCUGCCACAACCCACCUGUUGCAUAUGGCGCUGUGGGCAGCGCAGGAGUUACAGACUUACAGUUACUGGUUGUUCUUCAGACAGGCUGUGCCUUGUCUGGGGGAGGCGCGGAGAGAUGUUUCCUCAAACAGCCAAGAGCAAGAAGGCUAGAGGGAGUGCAUCCGUCAUGCUGGGGGUGCACCAAGGGUCAAGCGUAGGCAAACACAAUUCUGUGCACUCAAUGUGGCAUAUGGAACAUGUACAGAGAACCCGCCAGGAUGGCCGCCAAAAUGGAUGGAAAAUGGGAGAACGGAGAGGAGACGAUGGGGAGAGGCCAGGACAAUUUCCUGCACCAAUUGUCCUGGGUAAUCAGGACAGUCUCCCUGAGCAGACUGCUGUCCCGGCUUAUGUUUUAUUGCUUGGCCAGUGCACGGCAAGUCUGCUAGGUUUACAUUAAGGCGCAACACUCAGGAAAACAGCUGCCUUCAAAACAGUGAUUUUUGCUUUCUGGAGCUGCCCUAUCCUUUAGCAGUCUCACCUUCACUCUGCCGUCAAGAAGAUCUGCCUUUUGAAUGUACAAGUCAGAGUAAAACUGUGUCAAAGUUUUUAAACCUAUAACGUUUAACCACACUGUGGAUUCACAAUGGCGAAAAGCCUCAAUCGUCUUCCAAACUGGAAAGUUUAAAGAUACUUAGCACAAAGUUGGAUCAUGGAUCCACUUUUGAAAAAGAAACUUUCCAUUUCAGCUAGAAGAGCAUCACUUUAAGUAGGAGCACUGCCUGAAAGACUGUGUAAACUAUGACCACGAAAUAAGGAACUUUUUAAACAAACACAUUAGAAUGUCUAACCCAAAUAAGUGUCAGUCUUGGGAGCAUCUUUUUCGUCAAAUGAUGCCAUUAUUGCUCAAAGCUUUUUCAAAAUUCUUCUUUCCGAGGAGCCUUCAAAACGACUUGCACAAAAGCAGAAGGAUGUCACCUGACUUGAUAGUCACAGGUUUGCUUUCUUGAUGCAAUGCAAUUUUCUUCUUUUCACACUUUUUGCAACUUUAACCCUGCCCUGCUUCCCUCUUUCACGUCAUGAACUAAUAACCAAGGGAUCCCAAGAGACGUGUUGUAAUGGUGCUACCUGAGAAAGGAAAGGUCUGGGAGAAAGAGCAUGGGGCUAGUUAUAGCUCAGAAUAGGAGAGACCAAAGGAGCAUGGCCACUGCCUCAAUCCCUUUGGAUAUUGAGUGACUAUAAGAAAUGUAAUUGGAUAACUGGCCAAGUGUCCUCAACACAAAUCAUCUCAAGUUGAACCCCCAUUAAGUCAGGGGAUAUUCCUUGGCUAUAGCCAAGAGGUAGCAUCAUGCAUCUAACAGAGAUCUGGAUUUGGUCAAAGUCUUUUUUUGCAACAGACCAGAACAUGACCGGCCAGCCAUGCUGGAGCUGGUUGCCACUGGAUGGCAGGGAAUUUUGAGGCAGAGAUAAUGUAGCAAAGAACCAGUUGUUGUUUGGAUUCCCUCAAUGGCAGCAGCUGUAAGAGAGUCUUCUAAGUGUUGGCUUGGACCAAUGUUUGGGGAAAGAUUAGUUUGAGAGAGUUCUAGUUGUGUGGAGCUACAAGAGGAGAAAGAACCAGCUCAGGGUAGGCAAGAAUAACAGAGAACCUGAGGUGUGUACCCAGAUUUGGAAGACCUAGUUGGCUUGCUGUAAGGAUUAAAUGAGAUAUUUAUGCAAAUACUUUGAAACUAUAAAAUGCUUUUGUUGAUGUGUUAUUCGCCACCUCUAUUUACCUCCCAGGAAAGCAAACGAAUUUCAACCUUCCUGCCCCUCCAGUUAUCACUUAUCUACAUCCACCUCCAUCUCCUUUGCUCUUCCUAUAGCUAGUGAAAGACACUUCCUGUUUUUAUCCAAUGCUAAUUCCUACACCUGUGCAAUGCCUGUGCUCUUCUGAUCCAUCCCUUCCUGCUUCCUGACUUCUUGUUCCAUCAGUUAUGCUUCAUUUGUUCACCUCGUCAACCUCUCCCUCCCUCUUCCCCAUCAUAAUUCAAACAUGAUCUAAGAUCUCCCAACUUAAAAAAGGAGAAAAAUCCUUCCUCACACCAUGAUUUUCCUCCCCCUAGGGCACCUCUUGUUUCUCAUACUGUUGCCUUUUCUUCAUAGUCAGCCUUCUGGCAAGGGCAAUCUCUACUCAUUACCUCCAGCUGCUUAUGUCCCAUCCAUAUGUGACCUCCCUGCAGAGGGCUCCUGGAUCUGUCACUGCACUGGACCUGGUUUUGUCAAGGUGACCAGUGACCACCCUCCACCAAAUCCAAUGGCCACGUGUUUGUUCUAUUAAUUAACUUUCUAAACCCUCUUCCCUCCGCUGCUAUGGGAACACACUCUCCUGCGGUUUCUCUCACUUUUCCAACUGUUCUGUCCCAUUCUUCUUCCUCCAUCUGUUCCUUAAACAGUGGGGAUCCCUCUUGGACUCUAGGGGCACUGAUGGUUCUUCAGCUCUUAGGAGGAAACUGGUUGGCACAUCGUUGGUUCACAGUCAAUGCCUUUUCUUGAACCAAAGGGUUUGGAGUCGGUGCUUUCUCCCUCUGGGACCCUUCUUUGGGUUCUUAUCUUCCCAGAGGUCUGGUGUAGUGAGUCAGCCUGUGGCCACCUGCUGCUGGGAAAGCACAUGACCUAAAGGUGAGGCUUCCAUCAGCAACGCUCCGGGCUCCAGAACAAACCCGUCUUUGUUCCUUCUGCUUUUUUGCUGUGCCUUUUCUAGGGUUCACCUUGCCUCUCUGUAAAAGGGGUAAGGCACAGCGGAGACUUGCAUCUGGGCUUAUGAGGACAGGUGGCCACUCGGUCCAUUGUAUCUAAGUCUUGGAUCUGCUUCCCGCAAGCCAGAGAGAGAUCCUGUGUGGCUCCAUUAGCCACACCCGGCACACCAGCCUAGGGCUCCUCGCUGAGGUCGGCGGCUAAGGCCCUCAUAUAUCUACUUCUUGGGGGCUUCCUCUGCCUGGCUACCUUCUUUAUGAACUUAUCUGCCCCAGGGUCCUAGAACAGGAUGUAGGUGUUGAGGUCUCCGGGGCGGGUAUUCUCCACUGCGUCGCAAUCUGACCAACUUGUAUCCAUAGCCUCUUUCUUCUCUAUGUGCAAUUGUUCUGAGAGAUCUGGUCCACCCACAGGGCUCCAAAAACUGUGUGUGGGUGGUGGUGCCAAUCAUGUUCUCUGGCACACAGACAGGGCUCCUGACUGCCAGGCCCAUCUCUACAUACAUGAUCAACACAUCUAAAAGUCAGUUCACCAACGCUCCAUGUCCUCUCCCUUCUUUCCCCCUCCUCAUCUAUCUUUGCCCUACCUCCCACCUCCCCUGUUGUCUGAUCAGCUCUUACUUCUCCAUAAAAAUCUGGCUAGAUGUCACCUCAUUGCAAGCCUUCCCAGCCCCCAAGAUUGGGCUGAUGGCCCUCUUCUGUGUCUGCAUAGUACUUCCCCCAAAUGACACUGUAUUAUAAUCACCACCCCCUUUCCAGUUUCCCCACAAGACUGUGCAUCCUUCCAGGGCAGCAGCACUGUCUUGGGUAUGAAAGUCUAAGAAUAAGUGCACGGGUAAAAUGGAAAAACUCUCCUGUUGCAAAUUGGGUUAGUACUCUUCCUCAAACACGCGUCAGUGUGUGAGCGCAAGCUGCGCUUGGUAAGAUUCCACUUAUUUUUGUUCUCCCACCAUUACCUUCAAAUCGGCUCUCUCUGCACCUCCUUUCUUGCUCUUUGGUGAUUUCGCCAGACAGAUCUCAAGACUUUGAUCACUUUCAGAUGUCAGAACAGUCCUGUUUUGGGAUAGUUAAAGCUACAAACUAAACUCAAACUUGAAUCUCACAUCCAAUUUAAAGUUUCUUCCUUCUGUCCAGCUCAGGUCUGACACCGGGUUUAGGAACCUUCAGUGAGGAAGGGGGCGUGGUUUGUUCUUGCAUUCUUCUUGAUGCGCCUUCUACAUUCCUCCCCGUCUCUCCUCUCUAGCCUUCUUCAGGGGUCUCUAGGGCUGAGCAGAUGAAGAAAAAUGAGAGGAAAUGGUCAGAGGCCAUUAUGUUCAACAUGCGGAGUUUGUGGCCUUUGCCUGAGUGUCUGGAGUCCUCCGCAUUCUAAGUCCAGCCCUUCAGCGGGGCAAUGGGACUGUUAAGAUACCCCCUCCUACUCCCACUACAGGGACUUCCCACACUGCACCCUGUGCGAUGCUCUCUCCAGCUGAUCUCUCAGUCUCUCUUUGCUGGGACCCCCUGCUCCAGAAGGUAGCCCUCUGGUCACCACUUGGCACAUGGGAAUCUAUUUACUCUUAGCCUUUCAAAUGGCAAAAGUGCAUCUUGCUAUUCCUGCUGCCCUUGCUCCCCUUACCCCGCCAUCCAGCUCCAGCUAGCCUCCUGCUUUCAGAAAUCCCAGUCUUCAUGCCUCCGUACUCCAGGAGACACAUGCUGAGCUCUCCCAAGACCCCUGGUAUUCUCACUCUGGCAGCAGCGCUAUGCAGGCAGAAGUGCUUUCCCCACUCAGCACACUUCUAUCUACGAAAUGAGAGACCAGUUUGUGUCCCCUUCUUGCAAGACCCCUCCAAACUUGAGGUUCUGUUGUCCCCCUCUUUGCUGGUCGUAGGUGGCUGGAUCCCUUUCCCCAUGGGGAGGGAAGGAAAAAGCAAAGCUUUCUCCUUUUACAAAUUCCCUUCAAAGAAGCCUCUCAUGAACCUCUAGCCUGUCCUAGCAAGUCCUGUGGGAUUUCUCUAGCACCUCUCUUUAGAAUGCGGGGUCCUUAUCACCCAUUGACUUCAGUGUUGAAGCUUCAGCCAACACCUGAGACAACAAGGAAAGUUCCAUUCACAUCCUGUUAGCUGUUGCUUCUGCUUAAAAUAUUCUUUCUCCUUCCUUACACUUGCCUUCAACCUCACGUCACUGCCCCCACCGACUUUAGCUAACACACCACAGUAAAAAGUGAGGAAAAACGGGGCCUGAUUGGAACUUUAUCUUCAACGGAACUAAAAAUCAUAAAAAUAUAUUUUAUCUAUUUUAUAAAAUGGAUUUGUAAGCCUGAUUGUGCACUACUUCUUACACUAAAAAAAAAAGACUGGGUGGAUGUUUUUUGGCAUUAGCUGUUCGAUAAAUUUCUAUGAUAGCACAGUGUGUCUGCCUUCAUUUUACACUCAAGGACAGGAAGAUAAAGAGGAAUAUCUUUGCAAAAAUAUUCCAGAGUUUCAUCAGUUUCCUGAGGGCCUCUCCUCCACAUUUGAUAUUCAAAUCACCUUCUUUUGAAGGGCCUGUGUCAGUGUCUUUGUCAGUUUUCUCUCCUUCCCUGUUAAGUAAUCUAAUUCUGCCAAAUCCUUCUUUGUUAAUGAGUUCAUCUGUGAAUGAGCAGUUCUCCAGUUUCACUGCCCACUUCAUGAAAGUGCGUUUGAUUUUCAUCUUAUUUCUGCAUAUGUACAACAUUGGGGAAAUCAGCUGGGGGAUGGCUGACACGGAGGGCGAGGCGGGUGGCUAGGAAGGAGGCCGGCUUCAUUAGGAUGGCGGUACUUGCAUAUGGGCGCCUUUCAUGAGAGGUGAGUAAGUUCAUCAGUCACCAUUGUGGUAUGACCACUUUUGCUUCCCCAGGCCACCUUAUAAGUUGGGGUCUUAGAUACUGAACCCUGGAUAACCAGGGGCUUCUGUCAGCCCCUGGGAACGAGUUGUUCUAUAAGUGCUUCUCCACUAGGAUGGAGGCAAGGAGUGACUGGAGCCAGCAGAGAGCUGACAGGAGACAAGGAUGACAGGAGGCUGAGGGUGACUAUGCUGAGUCACCGAGCCAGGAAGGUGGGGGAGGUCCAAGACCAGUUUGGUAUCUGUGACCAUAUGGGCAAGGCUGAGCCCUGAGAUGGCUCAGAAACUGUCCUCUUCUGCAAGACAGCUAUUCGGCUCUGUGCCUUCAAGCACAGGGGACUAUAAGCAUCUUUAAAGCAUGGUGGACCACAUCGCUGCAUCAAGGGAGGGGCCAGAGCUUCAAGUCGUAUUUUGCAAAAUGGCUCCCCUCUAGUCAAACACUUCCAGAAACGACCUCAUCCUAAAACCACCUCCUCCUACCGGUACUUGGCCUCUUUAGAGGGAGGUUCUGCCAGUGCCGCCAAGGCCUUUUGCCUCUCCUACCUGUGUAAGCAGAACAUCCAACUUAAUGUCCUGUUAUGAAUUAAGGCCAUUCCCACUCUUGGUGACACAGGAAAGAGGGAAGCAAUCACCAGUCAUUUUCAUAAGCACAUCCUGAACUAGAGAGGAGGCAAUGAGAUAGAGACAAGAGUGGGACCAGAGCGGGGCACAGGGACAGCCCCUAAGAUGGCCCAGGAGCCCUGCCCCCUGGUAUCCACACCCUUGAGUGAUCCCCUCCCCUUGAGUAGGGGCUGGAUUUGGUGACUGGCUUCUAACAAAUAGAACAUGACAAAAAUAAUGGCUGUCAUUUCUGAGAGGUUAGGUUAUAAAUGACUGUGGCUUCCAUCAGGGGUACUCCUGCUCUCUCUUGAAUUCCCCCCCCCACUAAGUCAAGCCUUCAGUUAAGAUGGCCACCCCAUGACAGCCCUUAGCUAGAAUCACCCGGCUAAGAUGCACUUGGCUUCUUGACCUCAGAGACUGGAGGAGAUAAUAAACAUUGUUUGUCUCCAGACAUGAUUUUGUGAUAAUUUGUUACACAGCAACAGAUAAUUAAUAUACAAGGCAGGGGGUAUGGUGUGGGGGUCGUUUUCCUGGUUUCUGAGUCCAGCAGAGAGAGAAAUAUCAGAAUCUCCAAACAAUCUUGAUGAUCAUGGGAGACUUUUGUGAUCUGGGGCCCCAGGGUUUGAGGCUUUUGGAAAAAAAUUGCUUUCUAGGCCUCACUGCCGCAGUCAGUACCAGCACUGCCAGGCCAGGGGACAUGCGUGUGACCCAAAUGGUUCUGCUCUCCCUGUCCCUGGCCCCCACCCUCCCACGCGUACGUGCGUUCACCAUUCUACUGUGUCAUUGUCCUAACAGACCAUGAGCUCCUGGAGGGUAAAAGCCAUGUCUUAUUUAUCAUUGUUACCUGCCAUGCCAGAUACCAGUGUACAUUGCAGGUGCUCAACAAAUGCACAUGUGUGUGGUCUUACAUACACUUCGGCCUUGCACUUUCCACCAAGCUUCAUGCUAUCCUAGCCUGCAUCUAGGUGACUUGGCUUGUAUCUCUAUUAACUCCAACCCCCACCUUUAAAAAAAUUUCCAACUCCAGUUUCCUUAGGGAAACCACUAGAUUAUCUCCACUGUAUCUACACAAAAAAACCCACCCACUCCCACCCUGUGGAAGGAGAAAAGCCUCUGUAAAUAUAGAUUGAUAACUAAAGAGCGUCAGGAGGCAUGCCACGUGCCCUUUGCACUAGUCCUUGGCAUCUGCAAGAUUUAUCUCAGCACUAGGUGUAAGCUAUGAGGCCAGUUUCGUGCAGGGAAAGUUGCACAUGGAAAAGCAUUCUGUAACAAGGCUUGAACAAACGAAGAGGGAACAAAUCUUAGGGAAGGAUUGGAAGAUGAAGGGGGAAAAUCUGAGUCUGUCCAAGUCUGAGGCCAUAAAAAGCGUUUGAAGCCAUCAGCUGAUAUCUUGGAGGAGAUCCCAGGGUAAACAAACCUGCCUGAGAAGUCUGGAGAGUGUAACGUUCACCCUGACUUGGCAAAGGCACUGAAGUCCUUCCAGCUGAUCCAGACAAAGCCCUUUGAAGAUGGCCAGAGCUCCAGACACACACUUCCCCAGAGCAGGCAACAGGGUGGGGCUGCCAUCAGGCUGAGUAGACAUGCUUUGCAGGUAAGAUGGAAGAGUCGAGAACAAGGGCCAGACUUUGAAAUCAGGGACUACAAUGUCAUCCUGAAAUCAGAAGGUGGGUAGGUCCUUUGAAUUCAACAAAUGGAACGUUCAUUCAACUAGUGUUGUCUAAGUGCCAAGCACUGCUCUAUGAGACAGAGACCUUCCGCUAAACAAACAGACAUGAGACUUCCGCCUGGUGGGAAAGAUGGACAUUUAUACACGAAUAACCAGACAGUGUGAUGUCCACUCUCAUAGGAGACGUGCAAGUCAGGAGCACCAUUGCAGUUCAGCAGGCCCAGGGGAAGGGACCUGAGACCUGAAGGAUGAGCUAGUCCAGCAAAGAGGGAAGAGAAGAAGGAACUACACGGCCUGUGUUAAGGGCCGGCAUCACCAGGGUGCUGGCAGAUCGGAAGAGCUGGGAGAAGCGCAGGAAGUCAGAUGAAAGGCACUGGGAUUAUUCAUACUGGAAAAGGAAAGGCUAAAAGUUGGAUGCAAGUUUACGGUCAUAGUAAGUUGUUUAUAAGGAGGGCAAGGAGCCCCUCCACUGAGGCUUGCUCAGAGGAAAAGGGCCCAGCCCACAUCAGAGUAAAUCCAGACUCAGGAUGGGCCAGCCACUAUCUGAGGGCCUCAGAGUGGGAAAGCCCUGUCACCAGGGAGAGACAGUUGUUGUUGUCAGAACUCCUCUCACGCAGGUGGGGUUGGGUGGGAUGCGGCCCUGGGGGUGAGAUCCCCCAGGGGUAUACUUGGUAAGAAACAAAUGGUUGUUGACCUGCGUCUAAGAAAGGUGAGUCAGCUACCUGAAAGGCUUUUGUUUGCCAAGUGGGGUGUGCCGGUUGGGACCAGACUUGCUGAGUUUGGGAUCUUGGGGCAGUGACUGGGCAGCUGCCAGAGGCCUUCCCUCUCCAGCUUUCCCCCUGCCCUGAGUGCUCCUAUUGCAACAUUAAUAUCCCAAUAUUAAAAGAACAUCACUUUGAAGGAGCACCGAAUUAUUAGCCUUCCCAGAGGCCUCACAAGUGUCAAUUUGGCUCUGUCCAUAAGAAAGGAAAAGCAUUGUGCCCAUUCCCUCCCCACCUCUUUACUUUUCUGCUUCCUGACAUGGUUCCAAAGACUGGAUAUAAAGCAGAGGCCGUUGACCACUCCAAAUGCACCACCUGGACUCUGAGGACGAGCAGCCCCAGCUGAGAGGAUGGUUCAGGGCCAAACAAAGCCUGGCUUCUCCUGGCACCACCCUCUCAGCUGCGGCUCCGUUCCAUUCCCUCCCACUCCCUCUAGACGGCCGGUGAGACUGGGGAGGGCUGAUCAGGCCACUCAAAAAAGAGCCAUAGGGGCCAGUAACUAUGGAAAUGUCCACUCUCCUGGCGCUGAAAGAAAUGCAAAUAAUGGAACAUUUCAAAGCCUGUCAACCAGCGAGAAUUUUUAAACUGUAUGAUAAUAAGUUCUGGUAAGAGUGAGGUCAAGUUCUGUUCACUGAUGGCGUUAUGCAUAAAACCUGGUGGUAAGAGGGGAGAGGCUAGUGGCCCCACCUGCUCACUUCUUUCUGCCAUCCCUGCCCCGAGAGACCGGCUAUUUCUCCCCGUCUGGGGAUGGAUUAGCUCGACCUUGGCAUGACUCUGCUUGGUAACUAGGGAUAAUCACUGCGAUGACUUCAUCUAAAAGCCAGCCCCACAGCAGCUCAGCCCUCCUGCGGCACCAGAUACCCCUAGACUGUUGCGUGAAAAGCAGGAAAUUACCCCUCAUGGAUGUUUUUCCUUCUCAACCAGUUAGAGGAGUUGUGGGUGUAAUUACUAUGGCUCAGCCACUUAACUUUUUACUUAAGGCAACAACAUUUAGCUAACAUAGAAAUCAAAGCUUUUCUCUAACCAGGUCCUGUCGACCAACACAGAGCGCUGUAAUUUAUAUAACAUUUUAAACCAAAACAUACUAUCUGAACCUAAGCAUAGUCAUUAAUUAUUCCUUUUCAAGGAGUGACCCUCACAAAGCAAUACUCCUUAUAAGAAAGUCCACAUACACAGGCUAGCCUCUGCAUUACCUUCUUUCAUCCCAAUCCCCAAAGAUCGAUCACUACAAACAGAAAUUUAAGAAAUCCCUGUGUAGGGGGCCGGUCCCAA